rnacentral:piRNA from 1 species
UGGGAGGUCAAGUCUGCAGAUGGGCUGACA